AGUGUUUAAGAUGAAUCUUGGCAGAGUGAGAGAGAGCUCGUUAGGCAGGCAGGCAGGUGUGAGCCUGGUUGCUAUAGUGACUGCACCCACUGGCUCCAUACACACGCGCACAGACAUGCACCUCACUUUUGCUGCUUAAAAUGAACAGAAAAGUCAGGUCGAAACAAAUCGCUCCCAAAUGAAAAGUACAGGUCCUAUUGACAAAAUUCUUUCACCGUGAGCGACAGCAAUGUCCAGUCUACCUAAUUCUCAGUUUUCAUGCUUGUGGAGUUUAUUAUAUGGACGUGGUGACAGUGUAAAGACAGCCUGUACUUCUGGUUUUCAAACGAACCUUCUG
ensembl:lncRNA